GGGAAAAUUUUAAAAGUAAAUUUGAACCAAGAUUAACAGGAAAGAAAGGCUGAUUUUUGUGACCCUUAAUCUUGUAUUAAAGCAGAUAAAGCCUAAGAAAUAUAAUAUGAACACCCUGGGCUAGGAGCUUAACAUAGUCCCAACUGCAUCAGCAGGUAAAACACAUUUUGUUCAGUUCUGACCAGAGUGAAAUUCUAGUGGGCGAAAAGAUCAUUCUGAAUGUAUUUAAUCGUUCUUUGAUAAAUUAGGAGUCUCAUAAACCAGAACUCGAAUACAUCUUAUGUAAUUAUUUCUAUGUACUUGAUGGCUGUUUCAGAUUUUCUCGCUCUUUCCCUCUAUCUUUUACAUUGUGAAACUUUGACUAAUCUUUUGCUGCAGAAGGCAACCUUGUCUGUGGAGAUAAAGAGUUGUCCUGCAAAUUGGACAUGCUGUAGUCAAUAAAUAGCAUUCAGAAGUUUUAAGAACUUUUAACCUUCUGUACUCUUAAUUUUCUGGCUAAAAACUUUUCUAAUCCUGCCUAACAGGAUAAUCUUCCCGCCCGAACUCAGCUUAGAGUUUCAGUUUUUCUUGUGGCCUAGUCUCACUGCAAUUGUCGGUAAAAUAAAAUAAAAUCUUCUCUUUUUAUUGGUAUCCAAAAAAGAUGCAAGGUUUUCCCCCUCUGGCACCUUACAUAUAUAUUAAAAUAAUCAAGUUCAUGUAGUUAAUGUAUAUAUUCAGAUCAUGUUUAGGAAGUAAUUACUGUGCUCUCUGACUCUAUGUGCAAAACUUCCUGUUCCUGUGACAAGCUUGUCUGUCCUGAAAUUUUCUCAUUUAUCUGCAUGUACAGCAAAGAACAUUGGUAAAAAUCACCUUCUAAGUCAAGUAUGCAUAAAUUGGUACUGGAACAAUAAAACUGAACUUAUCCGUAGAAUAAGAGGGAUGCUUACUCUGAUUGAGUCUGGAGUUCGUAUCAAAAAGUUGAUUAUAGGACUGGAUAUCGUGAUUAUGGUCCGUUAAGAGGUUGAGCUUAUUAGAAUAUACCAACAUGUUCUUGAACUUGAUUCUUCAUACAUGAGAGAUUUCUUGCUGAAGAUGACUAUCUGAACAUAAACGUAGUAGGUGCACAGAAGGUUUUAGUCGGAUGAGUCAUACCCAUGUCAUCAACAACAUCAAAGGUCCCCAUACUUAACUCUUAAACACACAACCAACUUUGGUUUGAAUUGGUUCAGCUGUCCACUGUUCCAAUCUUAGCACUUGUGCAAGUCUUUGUAUGCUGACACAGAACUGAGCUGGAUUUUUAGCUUUGUGAGGCCAGCCUGCUUUUGGCACCAAACUUUACAAGUCAAGAAGAUUUUACAUAUUUAAUUAAAGUAGUCAAGAAGAUUUUAUAGGUACCGUUCAUGUAGCUUUCCUUAUCUGGACGGAUGUAGAAUAUUACUAAUAUCUACAAGUAGUCGACCCCAUCCUCUAUGUAAUGUCAUGGAAACAGCUUCUCUACUCCUUAGAGUAGUAUAACGUCUGCAUGUCUUUUACCUUCUUCAACCAUGCUUCCGGGAUAGACAUACCAUGUAUAUUCGAUUUGGAUCAAUAUCUUCCCUGGUCUGGUAGUGUUCAUUAGAGAGACUGAUUAUUUACAAAAUUUUGAAUUUAUCAUAGUAACCAACCUAAUAAUAAUGUUCCUCAGUGAGGUCCAGACUGUGUUUACAUAAGUGGUAGGUACAAAAUGCUUUCAGGUGAUUAUUCAUUCUACCUCAACUAACAUAACGCAUUGUUGAUUUUGUUUCUUUAAGAUUCAUUGUACAAAGGCCAAAUAAAAAAUGGAUUCUACAGCAAUCAUUUGAGUCUCUGAGGAUCCACAAUCAGGUGAAUCCCAGAGGAUUUUCAGGAAAAUUUUGUCUUUAAGUCACUGUCAUUGAAUAUUUUGUACCAUUCAGAUACUCCGGUGAGGCAGUAAUAUUCAUUAAUAUAAAAUUCCUCAAAUAUUUAUAUUAAAGUUAUACUAUUAAUGAAUUGCUUUUCUUAUUAGGCAACUUGGGAAAUAAUUUGUAAUAUACAAAUUCUCUGGGUCUUCCCCAAAGGUUGUGCACGGUGCAUAAGACUCUCUUUGUGACCCUAGUCACGACCGACUCCAAGAAUUAAGCUGUUGCGGGUCAUGUAGGGACAAAGCAAAUCUUCACAAGAAAGUAACAAGCUUUAUGGAAAGGCCAUCUAUGCAUGCAUGAGAAUUCAAAUCAAGUUGUUGGAAGAAAAAGCUUCAACUAACUAAGAUUUCAGAUUUGUGAGAUCCCACUUGUUCAUUGCAUUGAUACAUGUCAUCAUAUAUUCUUUAAUAAUUUCCUUGUUUGUGGAAUACAGAAUCAUCACCGCGCCUUGCCACGCCAGAUCCUCUUCUUAAAUCUGAGAGACUGGAGAGAAAGAUGUAUAUUGUCUGAUGAAUUAAAUCAACGCGGCUUGCAUGGUAUUUAUAGUGCUAAUAAGUGACACUUUGUGAUGGCAGCAUACCUUUUAUGGCUCUGCUUUUGAAUAAGAACUUGAUUAAGCAAAGGAAAGAGUAGAUUUAUCACAUGCAGCCUUAUCCUGAGCUGUAAAGAAAUGGAUUGUUGCCUUGUGGGGACAUUAGACUGAAACCAUGGAAGGCACAUUGGUAUUUAUCUUGUCGUCCCCGGAUUCAUUUCUUAAAAUUAGUCAGGUUUUAGAAUUUUGAGCAGGCUAUCCUGAAUCAUAUGUAUGUGAAGGAAGAAUGCUAUAAACUUAUAGUAAGUAGUAUAUUGGAGCGAUCUGUUUUUACUUCUAAAAUCAAUUUUAUUUUCUCAUAUGUCAUA